ACGGGGUGCAGCAGGCGCGAAACCUUCCCAAUGCGCGCAAGCGUGAGGAGGGGACCCCAAGUGUAUCGGCACAACCGAUACUUUUCUAGAGUGUAAAAAGCUUUAGGAAUAAGGGCUGGGUAAGACCGGUGCCAGCCUCCGCGGUAACACCGGCAGCUCAAGUGGUGGCCACGCUUAUUGGGCUUAAAGCGUCCGUAGUCGGUCGUACAAGUCUUCUGUGAAAUCCUCCAGCUUAACUGUAGGGCUUGCAGAAGAUACUAUACGGCUUGAGGCCGGGAGGGGAGUGGGGUAUUCCAGGGGUACCGGUGAAAUGGUAUAAUCCUUGGAAGACCACCUGUGGCGAAGGCGCCACUCUAGAACGGGCCUGACGAUGAGGGACGAAAGCUAGGGGAGCGAACCGGAUUAGAUACCCGGGUAGUCCUAGCCGUAAACUAUGUGGACUGAGUAUUGCCGAAGCCUCGAGCUACGGCAGUGCUGUAGGGAAACUGUCAAGUCCACCGCCUGGGGAGUAUGUCGCAAGGC
rnacentral:rRNA from 1 species